rnacentral:rRNA from 1 species
GAUGAACGCUGGCGGCGUGCCUAAUACAUGCAAGUCGAGCGAACGGACGAGAAGCUUGCUUCUCUGAUGUUAGCGGCGGACGGGUGAGUAAUACGUGGAUAACCUACCUAUAAGACUGGGAUAACUUCGGGAAACCGGAGCUAAUACCGGAUAAUAUUUUGAACCGCAUGGUUCAAAAGUGAAAGACGGUCUUGCUGUCACUUAUAGAUGGAUCCGCGCUGCAUUAGCUAGUUGGUAAGGUAACGGCUUACCAAGGCAACGAUGCAUAGCCGACCUGAGAGGGUGAUCGGCCACACUGGAACUGAGACACGGUCCAGACUCCUACGGGAGGCAGCAGUAGGGAAUCUUCAGCAAAGGGCGAAAGCCUGACGGAGCAACGCCGCGUGAGUGAUGAAGGUCUUCGGAUCGUAAAACUCUGUUAUUAGGGAAGAACAUAUGUGUAAGUAACUGUGCACAUCUUGACGGUACCUAAUCAGAAAGCCACGGCUAACUACGUG